CUGCUAGACUGAGCUCCUUGAGGCAGG
rnacentral:piRNA from 1 species